UGAAUACGAGACGCUAAGUCGUUGAAGUAGUGUAUGUCAUACUUCCAAGAAAAGCUUGCACUGUCAUAGAUAAAAAACGCCUGUACCAUAACCGACACAGGUGGGUAGGUAGAGUAUACUAAGGGGCGCGAGAUAACUCUCUCUAAGGAACUCGGCAAAAUAACUCCGUAACUUCGGGAGAAGGAGUGCCUUAUUUAUAAGGCUGCAAUAACAAGAUCCAAGCAACUGUUUAUCAAAAACACAGGUCUCCGCUAAGUCGUAAGACGACGUAUGGGGGCUGACGCCUGCCCAGUGCCAGAAGGUUAAAGAAGUUGGUUAGCAAUAGCGAAGCUGAUAACUGAAGCCCUGGUGAACGGCGGCCGUAACGAUAACGGUCCUAAGGUAGCGAAAUUCCUUGUCGGGUAAGUUCCGACCCGCACGAAAGGCGUAAUGAUUUGGAUACUGUCUCGGAGAGGGGCUCGGUGAAAUAGACUUGUCUGUGAAGAUGCGGACUACCUGCACCAGGACAGAAAGACCCUAUGAAGCUUUACUGUAACUUGAAAUUGAAAUUGGACUUUAUUCGCGCAGUAUAGGUGGGAGGCGUUGAUUGUAAUCUUGCGGGAUUAUUGGAGCCAUCAGUGAGAUACCACCCUUGUAAUGUUAGAUUUCUAACUUUGAAUCAUUAUCUGGUCAAAGAACAGUUUCAGGCGGGCAGUUUGACUGGGGCGGUCGCCUCCUAAACGGUAACGGAGGCGUACAAAGGUUUCCUCUGAACGGUUAGAAAUCGUAUCUAGAGUGUAAAGGCAUAAGGAAGCUUGACUGUGAGACCUACAAGUCGAGCAGGGACGAAAGUCGGUCUUAGUGAUCUGACGGUACUGAGUGGAAAGGCCGUCACUCAACGGAUAAAAGUUACUCUAGGAUAACAGGCUAAUCUCCCCCAAGAGUUCACAUCGACGGGGAGGUUUGGCACCUCGAUGUCGGCUCAUCGCAUCCUGGGGCGGUAGUACGUCCCAAGGGUUGGGCUGUUCGCCCAUGAAAGCGGUACGCGAGCUGGGUUCGGAGCGUCGUGAGACAGUUCGGUCCAUAUCCGGUGUAGGCGUUAGAAUAUUGAGAGGAGCCUUCUUUAGUACGAGAGGACCGAGAAGGACAUACCUCUGGUGUACCAGUUAUCGUGCCAACGGUAAACGCUGGGUAGCUAUGUAUGGAGUGGAUAACCGCUGAAAGCAUCUAAGUGGGAAGCCCACCUCAAGAUAAGUAUUCUCAUC
rnacentral:rRNA from 1 species